GCUGGUAUCCAUAUAGAAAUGUCUGAUCGAAGUAUCGAGGCCACCGGUGUGCUAGUACUUUGCAGGCUUCGCUCCUCAAUUUUGGAUCUGGGUCUCUUCUUUCAGAUCUUGAAGAAGAUGAACGCUGUGUGAAUCUUUUUGUGCAGAUCUGAUGGGAUCUGAAUCGAAUGCCAAGAAGAGAAGAAUCUUUCUUCUUCCCUUCUUCUCCCUCUCUAAUCUCUCUCUAAAUCUUAUAUCAAAUUUGAGAAUUUAUUAGGCAUUGGGUGUUCAAGAAAGGAGGCAUUGGGAAGAAGAGGUUGCCGCAAGAGAUCUCACGUUCAAAUCUCACGCAUGCCCAUCUUCUCCCCUUUUUAUUUGUCACACAAGACCCCAACAUUCCAUGCCUUAAUCAGAUCAGAUCUAAUCCAAUUUGAUUGGAAUAUGGGGUGGUUAGAUAUAUUUAGCAGCAAGGAAGAAACCUUGCGCACAAAAUAAAUAUCGGACGCCCACCUUCUCAACAUAUUUGUUGC
rnacentral:lncRNA from 1 species